rnacentral:lncRNA from 1 species
UAUUGAACAAGAGAAACCCAAUGUUCCAAUGAUAGCUACGGUCAAAGAAGACAGGUGAAGGUUACAGUGCGCGUGAAUGGGGUAUACGCGGCUGCCGUACUGCCAUCACCGUUAUCUAUUCGUAUACCUUAUUCGCUUGUUCCACCGAGAAGGAAGAAUAAAUAAAUAAAUAAAUAAAAGAAGAAUCCUGACUAUCUAAUUUCGGGCUUAUCCUAAACAGA